rnacentral:rRNA from 1 species
AAAAGAAACCAACAGGGAUUGCCCUAGUAACGGCGAGUGAAGCGGCAACAGCUCAAAUUUGAAAGCUGGCUCCGGCCCGCAUUGUAAUUUGCAGAGGAUGCUUCUGGUGAGGUGCCUUCCGAGUUCCCUGGAACGGGACGCCAUAGAGGGUGAGAGCCCCGUAUGGAUGGACACCAAACCUGUGUGAAGCUCCUUCAACGAGUCGAGUAGUUUGGGAAUGCUGCUCUAAAUGGGAGGUAAAUCUCUUCUAAAGCUAAAUACCGGCCAGAGACCGAUAGCGCACAAGUAGAGUGAUCGAAAGAUGAAAAGCACCUUGAAAAGGGGGUUAAACAGUACGUGAAAUUGUUGAAAGGGAAGCGCUUGUGACCAGACUUGCGCCGGGCAGCUCAUCAGGGGUUCUCCCCUGUGCACUCUGCCCGGCUCAGGCCAGCAUCGGUUCUCGUGGGAGGAUAAGAACGGUAGGAACGUGGCCCCCCUCCGGGGGGGUGUUAUAGCCUACCGUACGAUACUCCCGUGGGGACCGAGGUUCGCGCUCCGCAAGGAUGCUGGCGUAAUGGUCAUCAGCGACCC